ACCCAUACACCCAAACUAGAAAUUCUUGCUGAAAUAGAGCAGCCAUACACUUAACUAAAUUUCAUGACUCAGUCCGCAAGAGCAAAGCCAGAUAAAUUUGAUGCCAAUAGAUCAGGUUGUUAAACCACAUGAUCACUCAGAAAUCCUUCAUUGACAAGCACACACUAAUACCAGUGAACUGAAGUGAUUACUUACUGCUUGACUCAAAAAAAUACAUGUGCACCUAUGCAUUGAAUGACUGAUUCUCUAAAAUGGACACACCUUAUAUGGAUACAACUUAAAGGAUACUAAAUUUGUUCAAGAUCAAACAAAAUUUACAUACUUUUGCGACUCAAUGAUUGACAAG
rnacentral:misc_RNA from 1 species